CUUGUAAGGGUAGAAGAACUUCGCAGUCCGAUGAUCCAUGGAUUCGAGGUUCGCUGUUGAGCCACGCACGUGUCCGACCUCUACAGAUAUCCACUCGGGCUCAGACUAGAAUGCUCUUUUCAUUUUUUAUUUGUCUACUCCUAGAUGAAUCUGCAAGCUUCUGGAUUAGUCUUGAAUCUGAUCUCUGACAGGAUUUCGAUCAAUGCUCGAUCGUAGUCUUUUUGUUUCUUCGCAU
rnacentral:lncRNA from 1 species